rnacentral:rRNA from 1 species
GGGGAAUAUUGCGCAAUGGACGAAAGUCUGACGCAGCAACGCCGCGUGGGUGAUGAAGGCCUUAGGGUCGUAAAGCCCUGUCAGGUGGGAAGAAACCGGACUUGUUCCGCUGACGGUACCACCAAAGGAAGCA